rnacentral:rRNA from 1 species
CAGCCGCCGCGGGAACACGGAGGGGGCUAGCGUUGUUCGGAAUUACCGGGCGUAAAGCGCACGUAGGCGGCUUGGUAAGUUAGAGGUGAAAGCCUGGAGCUCAACUCCAGAAUUGCCUUUAAGACUGCCGAGCUAGCAGGUGAGAGAGGUAAGUGGAAUUCCGAGUGUAGAGGUGAAAUUCGUAGAUAUUCGGAAGAACACCAGUGGCGAAGGCGGCUUACUGGCUCAUACUGGACGCUGAGGUGCGAAAGCGUGGGGAGCAAACAGGAUUAGAUACCCCAGUAGUCCCUGUCUCUUAUAA